AAUAGAUACCCCGGUAGUCCACGCCCUAAACGAUGUCAACUAGUUGUCGGGUCUUAAUUGACUUGGUAACGCAGCUAACGCGUGAAGUUGACCGCCUGGGGAGUACGGUCGCAAGAUUAAAACUCAAAGGAAUUGACGGGGACCCGCACAAGCGGUGGAUGAUGUGGAUUAAUUCGAUGCAACGCGAAAAACCUUACCUACCCUUGACAUGGCAGGAAUCCUGAAGAGAUUUGGGAGUGCUCGAAAGAGAACCUGCACACAGGUGCUGCAUGGCUGUCGUCAGCUCGUGUCGUGAGAUGUUGGGUUAAGUCCCGCAACGAGCGCAACCCUUGUCAUUAGUUGCUACGAAAGGGCACUCUAAUGAGACUGCCGGUGACAAACCGGAGGAAGGUGGGGAUGACGUCAAGUCCUCAUGGCCCUUAUGGGUAGGGCUUCACACGUGCUACAAUGGCCGGUACAGAGCGUUGCCAACCCGCGAGGGGGAGCUAAUCGCAUAAAACCGGUCUCAGUUCAGAUUGGAGU
rnacentral:rRNA from 1 species